AGGGGUUUCAUCUCCUUUUCCAAAAUCUCCCUCUUUGGCCCCCAGCUGGUGGCUUCUCCCCAAGUGCUUUGAAAUAAACACGCUGGGCUGGCAACCCCGCUCUCCAGCAGCCGAUCAGGUACAGCACUUGGAUGCGGACGGCUUUUACAGCUCAGUAAACUGGCGUCCUAAGUGCUCGGAGAGCAGCUAGCCGCUCUGACGUUAAGGCCCGGGUGUGUUUUUCUCUUUCUCUCAACUCUUUUUCUGUCUCUCUCUCUCUUUUUUUACCUUUGCUCUCCUACCUCUCCCUGUCCCUUGUCCACCGACUGAGCCACGCGGGGGAUGCAGCGCAUGGGAAGCACAGACGCGAGGAAGGGUGGUCUUGCAGGCCAUCUGGUUCCAGGCAUUUGAAAAUGACCGAAUAAAGGCUGGUUUCUGGGACCUCUCCAUGGCUCCUGCCAGCUGCCACGCAGGAAGUUCCGAGUCCGGAGAGCAAAUCAUCAGCAAAGCUCAAGGAUUCUCCU